CUUGGUCAUUUAGAGGAAGUAAAAGUCGUAACAAGGUUUCCGUAGGUGAACCUGCGGAAGGAUCAUUAAUGUAACCGGACUGGUACGUUCGCCGUAAAACGCAGCGGAUCGGAAAGGGAGAUAUCAUACACCCUGUAUUUAUUUUACCUUUGUUGCUUUGGCGGGCCGUUCUUUUAGGCGUCGGCCCCGGCUGAUCGCGCCCGCCAGAGGACCCAAACUCUUUUAUUAGUGAUGUCUGAGUACUAUAUAAUAGUUAAAACUUUCAACAACGGAUCUCUUGGUUCUGGCAUCGAUGAAGAACGCAGCGAAAUGCGAUAAGUAAUGUGAAUUGCAGAAUUCAGUGAAUCAUCGAAUCUUUGAACGCACAUUGCGCCCGCUGGUAUUCCGGCGGGCAUGCCUGUUCGAGCGUCAUUAUGACCAAUCAAGCUCUGCUUGGCUUUGGGGCCCGCUGUACCGGCGGCUCUUAAAACUAGUGGCGGUGCCGUCUGGCUCUAAGCGUAGUAAUACUUCUCGCUAUAGUGUUUAGGCGUCCACCCGCCAGAACCCCCCAACUUUCUUAGGUUGACCUCGGAUCAGGUAGGGAUACCCGCUGAACUUAAGCAUAUCAAUAAGCGGAGGAAAAGAAACCAACAGGGAUUGCCUCAGUAACGGCGAGUGAAGCGGCAACAGCUCAAAUUUGAAAUCUGCCUCUAGGCCGAGUUGUAAUUUGUAGAAGAUGCUUCGGGUGUGGCACCGGUCUAAGUUCCUUGGAACAGGACGUCAUAGAGGGUGAGAAUCCCGUACGUGACUGGCUGCCUUCGCCCAUGUGAAGCUCUUUCGACGAGUCGAGUUGUUUGGGAACGCAGCUCAAAAUGGGUGGUAUAUUUCAUCUAAAGCUAAAUAUUGGCCAGAGACCGAUAGCGCACAAGUAGAGUGAUCGAAAGAUGAAAAGCACUUUGGAAAGAGAGUUAAACAGUACGUGAAAUUGUUGAAAGGGAAGCGCUUGCAACUAGACUUGCGCGCCGUCGAUCAUCCGAGGUUUUCCCCGGUGCACUCGGCGGUGCUCAGGCCAGCAUCGGUUUCGGUGGUUGGAUAAAGGCCUUGGGAAUGUGGCUCCUCUAGGAGUGUUAUAGCCCUCGGUGCAAUGCAGCCUACCGGGACCGAGGACCGCGCUUCGGCUAGGAUGCUGGCGUAAUGGUUGUAAGCGACCCGUCUUGAAACACGGACC
rnacentral:rRNA from 1 species